rnacentral:rRNA from 1 species
CCUACGGGAGGCUGCAGUGAGGAAUAUUGGUCAAUGGGCGCGAGCCUGAACCAGCCAAGUCGCGUGAGGGAAGACGGUCCUAUGGGUUGUAAACCUCUUUUGUCGGGGAGCAAAAUGCGCCACGCGUGGGGUUCCGAGAGUACCCGGAGAAAAAGCAUCGGCUAACUCCGUGCCAGCAGCCGCGGUAAUACGGAGGAUGCGAGCGUUAUCCGGAUUUAUUGGGUUUAAAGGGUGCGCAGGCGGACGCUUAAGUCAGCGGUAAAAUUGCGAGGCUCAACCUCGUCGAGCCGUUGAAACUGGGGGCCUUGAGUGGGCGAGAAGUACGCGGAAUGCGUGGUGUAGCGGUGAAAUGCUUAGAUAUCACGCAGAACUCCGAUUGCGAAGGCAGCGUACCGGAGCGCAACUGACACUGAGGCACGAAAGCGUGGGUAUCGAACAGGAUUAGAUACCCGUGUAGUC